rnacentral:rRNA from 1 species
CGAAUGCUGACAUAAGUAACGAUAAAGCGGGUGAAAAGCCCGCUCGCCGGAAGACCAAGGGUUCCUGUCCAACGUUAAUCGGGGCAGGGUGAGUCGACCCCUAAGGCGAGGCCGAAAGGCGUAGUCGAUGGGAAACAGGUUAAUAUUCCUGUACUUGGUGUUACUGCGAAGGGGGGACGGAGAAGGCUAUGUUGGCCGGGCGACGGUUGUCCCGGUUUAAGCGUGUAGGCUGGUUUUCCAGGCAAAUCCGGAAAAUCAAGGCUGAGGCGUGAUGACGAGGCACUACGGUGCUGAAGCAACAAAUGCCCUGCUUCCAGGAAAAGCCUCUAAGCAUCAGGUAACAUCAAAUCGUACCCCAAACCGACACAGGUGGUCAGGUAGAGAAUACCAAGGCGCUUGAGAGAACUCGGGUGAAGGAACUAGGCAAAAUGGUGCCGUAACUUCGGGAGAAGGCACGCUGAUAUGUAGGUGAAGCGACUUGCUCGUGGAGCUGAAAUCAGUCGAAGAUACCAGCUGGCUGCAACUGUUUAUUAAAAACACAGCACUGUGCAAACACGAAAGUGGACGUAUACGGUGUGACGCCUGCCCGGUGCCGGAAGGUUAAUUGAUGGGGUUAGCCGCAAGGCGAAGCUCUUGAUCGAAGCCCCGGUAAACGGCGGCCGUAACUAUAACGGUCCUAAGGUAGCGAAAUUCCUUGUCGGGUAAGUUCCGACCUGCACGAAUGGCGUAAUGAUGGCCAGGCUGUCUCCACCCGAGACUCAGUGAAAUUGAACUCGCUGUGAAGAUGCAGUGUACCCGCGGCAAGACGGAAAGACCCCGUGAACCUUUACUAUAGCUUGACACUGAACAUUGAGCCUUGAUGUGUAGGAUAGGUGGGAGGCUUUGAAGUGUGGACGCCAGUCUGCAUGGAGCCGACCUUGAAAUACCACCCUUUAAUGUUUGAUGUUCUAACGUUGACCCGUAAUCCGGGUUGCGGACAGUGUCUGGUGGGUAGUUUGACUGGGGCGGUCUCCUCCUAAAGAGUAACGGAGGAGCACGAAGGUUGGCUAAUCCUGGUCGGACAUCAGGAGGUUAGUGCAAUGGCAUAAGCCAGCUUGACUGCGAGCGUGACGGCGCGAGCAGGUGCGAAAGCAGGUCAUAGUGAUCCGGUGGUUCUGAAUGGAAGGGCCAUCGCUCAACGGAUAAAAGGUACUCCGGGGAUAACAGGCUGAUACCGCCCAAGAGUUCAUAUCGACGGCGGUGUUUGGCACCUCGAUGUCGGCUCAUCACAUCCUGGGGCUGAAGUAGGUCCCAAGGGUAUGGCUGUUCGCCAUUUAAAGUGGUACGCGAGCUGGGUUUAGAACGUCGUGAGACAGUUCGGUCCCUAUCUGCCGUG